GUGGGGAAUAUUGCACAAUGGGGGAAACCCUGAUGCAGCGACGCCGCGUGAGCGAAGAAGUAUUUCGGUAUGUAAAGCUCUAUCAGCAGGGAAGAUAAUGACGGUACCUGACUAAGAAGCCCCGGCUAACUACGUGCCAGCAGCCGCGGUAAUACGUAGGGGGCAAGCGUUAUCCGGAUUUACUGGGUGUAAAGGGAGCGUAGACGGCAAGGCAAGUCUGAUGUGAAAACCCAGGGCUUAACCCUGGGACUGCAUUGGAAACUGUCUGGCUCGAGUGCCGGAGAGGUAAGCGGAAUUCCUAGUGUAGCGGUGAAAUGCGUAGAUAUUAGGAAGAACACCAGUGGCGAAGGCGGCUUACUGGACGGUAACUGACGUUGAGGCUCGAAAGCGUGGGGAGCAAACAGGAUUAGAAACCCUUGUAGUCC
rnacentral:rRNA from 1 species